rnacentral:lncRNA from 1 species
UAAUGAAGUUAGAACUUUGGAUAACUUAAAUCCUGAUGUGCGACUCAUUCUUGAAGAAAUCACCAGAUUUUUGAAUAUGGAAAAACUUCUUCCGAGUUACAGGCAUACCAUCACUGUCAGGCUGGAGUGCAGUGGCGCAAUCUUGGCUCACCACAACCUCCACCUCCUGGGUUCCAGUGAUUCUCCUGCCUCAGCCUCCUGAAUAGCUGGGAUUACAGGCAUGCACCACCAUGCCUGGCUAUUUUUGUAUUUUCAGUAGAGACGGGGUUUCACCAUGUUAGUCAGUUGUUUGAGAGCCAUACGGGUACUUCAGAAGAACGGACAUGUGCCAAGUGAUCCAGCUCUUUUUAAAUCUUAUGCUGAAUAUGGCCACUUUGUGGACAUUAGGAUAGCAGCUUUGGAAGCAGUUGUUGAUUAUACUAAAGGUAAUACUUUAGAAAUACGUGCUCAUAUCAUUUUAGAAAGAACUAUUUACUUUUUAAAGCCAGUGUUGUUGGGGUUUUCGUAAUAUGUAUAACACAGAUAUUUUAAUUUUAAAUUCUUGACUUAGUGAUUUAGAAAUCAUCUUU